rnacentral:rRNA from 1 species
GACGAACGCUGGCGGCGUGCUUAACACAUGCAAGUCGAGCGAGGCCCUCCUUCGGGGGGUUCCCUAGCGGCGAACGGGUGAGUAACACGUGGGCAACCUGCCCUCAGCUCUGGGAUAACUCCAAGAAAUUGGUGCUAAUACCGGAUGUGACCGCUGACCGCAUGGUCUGGUGGUGGAAAGAUUCAUCGGCUGAGGAUGGGCCCGCGGCCUAUCAGCUUGUUGGUGGGGUAAUGGCCCACCAAGGCGA